rnacentral:rRNA from 1 species
UGGGGAAUAUUGCACAAUGGGCGAAAGCCUGAUGCAGCAACGCCGCGUGAGUGAUGAAGGUCUUCGGAUUGUAAAGCUCUGUCUUUUGGGACGAUAAUGACGGUACCAAAGGAGGAAGCCACGGCUAACUACGUGCCAGCAGCCGCGGUAAUACGUAGGUGGCGAGCGUUGUCCGGAUUUACUGGGCGUAAAGGGUGCGUAGGCGGAUGUUUAAGUGAGAUGUGAAAUACCCGGGCUUAACUUGGGUGCUGCAUUUCAAACUGGAUAUCUAGAGUGCAGGAGAGGAGAAUGGAAUUCCUAGUGUAGCGGUGAAAUGCGUAGAGAUUAGGAAGAACACCAGUGGCGAAGGCGAUUCUCUGGACUGUAACUGACGCUGAGGCACGAAAGCGUGGGUAGCAAACAGGAUUAGAUACCCUGGUAGUCCACGCCGUAAAACGAUGAGUACUAGGUGUAGGAGGUAUCGACCCCUUCUGUGCCGCAGUAAACACAUUAAGUACUCCGCCUGGGAAGUACGAUCGCAAGAUU